rnacentral:tRNA from 1 species
GCUGCGUUGGCCGAGUGGUUAAGGCGUUGGACUCGAAAUCCAAUAGGAUAUUCCCGCGCAAGUUCGAAUCCGGAUCGCAGCG